rnacentral:rRNA from 1 species
AUUGAACGCUGGCGGCAGGCUUAACACAUGCAAGUCGAGCGGGGGAAGGUAGCUUGCUACCGGACCUAGCGGCGGACGGGUGAGUAAUGCUUAGGAAUCUGCCUAUUAGUGGGGGACAACAUCUCGAAAGGGAUGCUAAUACCGCAUACGUCCUACGGGAGAAAGCAGGGGAUCUUCGGACCUUGCGCUAAUAGAUGAGCCUAAGUCGGAUUAGCUAGUUGGUGGGGUAAAGGCCUACCAAGGCGACGAUCUGUAGCGGGUCUGAGAGGAUGAUCCGCCACACUGGGACUGAGACACGGCCCAGACUCCUACGGGAGGCAGCAGUGGGGAAUAUUGGGCAAUGGGGGGAACCCUGAUCCAGCCAUGCCGCGUGUGUGAAGAAGGCCUUAUGGUUGUAAAGCACUUUAAGCGAGGAGGAGGCUACUUUAGUUAAUACCUAGAGAUAGUGGACGUUACUCGAAGAAUAAGCACCGGCUAACUCUGUGCCAGCCGCCGCCGUAA